rnacentral:misc_RNA from 1 species
GAAAUGCGAUAAGUAAUGUGAAUUGCAGAAUUCAGUGAAUCAUCGAAUCUUUGAACGCACAUUGCGCCCCCUGGUAUUCCGGGGGGCAUGCCUGUUCGAGCGUCGUUUCACCACUCAAGCCUCGCUUGGUAUUGGGCAACGCGGUCCGCCGCGUGCCUCAAAUCGACCGGCUGGGUCUUCUGUCCCCUAAGCGUUGUGGAAACUAUUCGCUAAAGGGUGUUCGGGAGGCUACGCCGUAAAACAACCCCAUUUCUAAGGUUGACCUCGGAUCAGGUAGGGAUACCCGCUGAACUUAAGC